GGGAAGAGCCACCGAGGCCCCGCCGGCUCGGGCGGCCCUGCCUGUCUCUCUCAGGGUUAGCGUCUGAAGUUAGCCAGCCGGCCAGCCAGCAGGGUUGCGUCUCCACACUCCACCUGUUGCCGUUGACGAGGGUGUCCUGCUUCGCGAAUGGGCUUCCCGAGAGUCCGUUCUGGUCUGCUGCACGUGCUGCUGCUGCUGCUGCUCCCUUCUGAGAAGCCUACAGUCGGGGAUCCAUAGGGGUGCAUGCAUACACAACGGUUUUGGGGGCGUUGGGAGCAGCUCUGGGUCGUGCGAAUGUGCACUGGCACGGAUGCUGCAGGCAGCACACACACACAGAGCUUUGUGCGGCAGGAUUACAGAGGUCACCAGAGGUGGCUUCUUGAAAAGAGCAGGGCAUGUGUGCCCCUGUCCUAAAUAAACGUUUUGAACGUAAA